AUAUUGAACGCGCGGGGUUAUUGCCCUCCUUAAUUUUUUGCUUAUUUUGAUUUUGAUUUCCGAAAAUAAUAAGAAAAAAAACUCAAAAGAUCUCAAACCCUAACAUCAUCACAUUCUCUUUCCCAUCGCUUAAUCCUUCGGUCUCCCACUGAAUCGACCGCCGCUCUCUCCCACUGAGUCGACCGCCGCUCUCUUUCCCAUCUCUUUCCCGCCGCUCUUUCCCAUCGCUUUCUUCGCGAGAUCUUUUUCACAGGUUCAGAUUUUUGGAGCUGGUGUUCGUUUCUUCUCUGCUGGCUUAUUAAUGUCAAUUGACAUUGGAGAACUUGGCAUUUCCUAUUAGCAAGAAAGGGGCAUAGUCGCCAAAAUCAAGUUAGCAUUCAUUAAUUCUCAACUCCAAGCAGGUUCCAAAUGCUUCCAGUAUCUCUGAUAUAACGAAUUCUGCAAGUAUCCAAACACUAAUGAACACUACAAGAAAAUUGCCCUAUACCCAUAGCAAUUUGGAUGUAAUCGGUCCAAAUGCUUAUGUUCCAGCUACAUCCUUAGUUUAGGCCAUUUGGAGGAACUGCAAACUUGGCAUCAGUUCAUUUAUCUUAUCAAUCAAUUAUGUUAUAAUUUUUGUCAAUGCACCGAUCUAGAAUAUGAAAUGGUUUUACUAGUCUUUUAGAGUUAUUGAUCUUCUCAUCAAUCUCACAAAUUUAUAUAAUUGGUUG